GGGGAAUAUUGCACAAUGGGCGAAAGCCUGAUGCAGCAACGCCGCGUGAGUGAAGAAGGUCUUCGGAUCGUAAAACUCUGUUGUUAGGGAAGAACAAGUAUCGUUCGAAUAGGGCGGUACCUUGACGGUACCUAACCAGAAAGCCACGGCUAACUACGUGCCAGCAGCCGCGGUAAUACGUAGGUGGCAAGCGUUGUCCGGAAUUAUUGGGCGUAAAGCGCGCGCAGGCGGCUUCUUAAGUCUGAUGUGAAAUCGUGCGGCUCAACCGCAAGCGGUCAUUGGAAACUGGGAGGCUUGAGUGCAGAAGAGGAGAGUGGAAUUCCACGUGUAGCGGUGAAAUGCGUAGAGAUGUGGAGGAACACCAGUGGCGAAGGCGGCUCUCUGGUCUGUAACUGACGCUGAGGCGCGAAAGCGUGGGGAGCAAAC
rnacentral:rRNA from 1 species